UACGUAGGGUGCAAGCGUUUGUCCGGAAUUAUUGGGCGUAAAGAGCUUGUAGGCGGUUUGUCGCGUCUGCUGUGAAAUUUCGGGGCUCAACCCCGAACUUGCAGUGGGUACGGGCAGACUAGAGUGUGGUAGGGGAGACUGGAAUUCCUGGUGUAGCGGUGAAAUGCGCAGAUAUCAGGAGGAACACCGAUGGCGAAGGCAGGUCACUGGGCCGCGAACUGACGCUGAGGAGCGAAAGCAUGGGGAGCGAACAGG
rnacentral:rRNA from 1 species